ensembl:lncRNA
UACAUCCAUGACAUGCAAAGAGGAGGAGUUUAGUUUUAUAUUUUAAUCUCUGUCAAUUUAAAUUGCUGUCUGAUGAGAUUUUUUUAUUAUUAUUAUUUAUUAUUAUUAUAUAUAUUUUUUAACAUUUCCAGUAAGAAAUUCUACAAUGCACCAGCAAGCUGAAAAUCAAAGGGAGUACUAUUUUCCAUAAAUUGAAAAUUUAAACCAUGGAACUCACUGUCACAGAGCAUGACAAUGGAAGUCGAAAUUCUAAAUGUUCUAGAGAACAAUUCCAUGGAAGCAAAGUGUUUCAAGGGCUGCCAGCAACAGCAAUGCAUCUGCAGUCCAGGAAGUCCCUCUGGACUGUCCCACAAGGAGAAGAAAAGAGAGGUACUGUACAUAGGGUUUGGAGAGUCAGCAGCUGUCUCCAGGUAAACAUUCCCAGAUCUUGGCAUAAAGAUAGCUGCAAAGUUAGGCCAAUGACUAUCAUGCACAAAGGAUAACUGUGGCAGCCUAAAGCCAUGGCUAAUUAAAAUGACCACAUAUACUCAUCUGUCCAAGAGCAACGUUCUACAGAAGGGAAGACUAAUGAAAGCAUUUUGCGGGCAUAACUACUCAGUCUCAUUUGUUCCACCUCCAGUGUUGACAGCAGCCACCAACCUGGGUAACAGCUCAAAAUAAAUUAAGCCUAAAGUGAGAAGUGUCA